AGUUGAUUGUUCGGGUAAUCACUCUCCUCAAAUGUGAUGCUGAAAUACUUCAUCUUGACAAAUCUGCCAAAGUAGCUGACGAUCACCAUCGGUGGUAGCUCGCUGUUAAGUAAUGUUGUUAUGAUCCAAUAAUUGUUGAUUGGCAUGUCGGCAACACGAUCAAAUUCAAUCUGGGAACUAAUAACUUCUGUCAACGCUUGACAAAUUUUGGCUACAUGACUAUCGACAGACAACACGGCAACGUUGUCUAAUAAGUAACAGCUUAAUUAUAAACGGGGCAAUGACUAUCACGACCACAAAUAUGAUCACCAAAGGAAAAUUGUGUUAUUCUUGAAAAGAAAAAGGCUGCAAUGGAAAAGCUGGAUGUGACAAGCUAGUGGAUUGUGCAAUGCGGUACAGCAAAAUCAGGUUCGAUUCAAAGAAUUGAAUAUAAAGGAGCAAUGCACAAGAUAGACAAAUUUCCGCAUUUCUGUGAAUAGCUUCGAGCCAUGACUACGUUAUCCAAGGAAAUAACAAGCUGGGUCAGCUUGAAAAAACCAAGGCUUUCACAAGGUCAAAAGGGUGUGUGACGGUGAAUGCUAGAAGUUUAAAGAUGGUGUCUACAAAGGAAAGUAAAGAAGAGAUUCACUGGAACCAAUUACCAGAGCUCUCUAUUUUAUGAUCAUUCAUCCAUAUCUUAUCAUUGUCUUUUUCCUUCUUUUCCUUUCCGAGUUGAAAUACACUACAGUCCAUUGCUUCUAACUAUCAAAAGCAAAGAACAAAGCAGCAGCAAAGACAUUACAAACAAAAUCAAAAGAUUUUGUCCCCCAAUUUCAGCAUUUUCUUUGCCUUUCAACUCUUUCCCUUUUAGUGCUUGAUUUUUUUUUAUUGGAGCUAAUUGCAUCUAAAUCCCCCUUUAAUCUCCCCUUGUGACUUCUUUAUUUGGUUAAUGCGGCUUGUUCUUGUACUUUCUGUUCGGAUCUUCUUUUUCUAGAUUAAUCCUCCCCUCCCCUCAAGCCCCGAGUCCACUGCACGGUGGAGAAAAUGAACUGAGGGAAGGUAACAUACUACAGCUUGAAGCGCUCCCCAUUUCCUUGAUAGAUCUUCCAGGACGAUUAGCACAUGCAAGAAGAUAAACUUGGAAAAACAUACGAGUGUAACAUGCUUUGAUUUAGUGCAAAAUCUUCGAAGUAUCGCCAUGUAUUGAAUGGCAAUUACCAGA